AAGCGUGCAUUUGCACGCCGCAGAUAAGUUCGUUGGAAAAUGAUAAUUAAAGUGCAAAAUAAACAGUUCUUUUUUGAUAACGCGUCGCGAAGCGAAAUUAGUUUCGCUUGUUAUCAGUUCUCGCGCGGACGAAACAAAAAAUAAACUAGUGCAACCCCAAAGGGUUCGUUGAACAGCGCAGUUGUUUAUAGUGCCAGGUUAUGCAAGCGGAAGUCGUAGAAAAAACUGCAUUAAUUUCUGGCAGGACGACAGACGCAGAAGGCAACGCGCGAACCAAAAUGCCACUGUCCGGAGGUGUUAGCAGCUGAACUUUCACUCAUUUCGUCAAUGCUGCCGCCACGCCACCGCCACAGCCGAUCGCCCAAUGCUGUAUGCAUAUGACAUCCGGUUUUUGUUUGACAAGUUAGAUUUUUUUUGUUUGCUCAGCACAAAUUCACCAACUAUAGUUGCAAACGUUGCGAACCCCGAGAUAACCAUGCGUCGCAAAUAGCGUCGCCAUGACAGCGGCGAAAACAGCAAACAACCGCGUGGUUGAGGGCAACGAAAUUUCCGGUCCAUCAUCAAUGUGCUACCGCUACUCACUUGCACCAAUAACGUCAGUGAAAAGAUGGAAAAAAAUAAUACGCACACCAUCGGCCGUUCAUCAUCCAAGUUUGCAAGUGCUGUCAUUUCAUGGACGCUGAAAGCGUCUGAAAGAGAAAAAACUCCUCGCUUCCUUGUACACGCGGGCACUCGAAAAACCAACAACCAGCUCCAAGAGAGCGAAGCAGUUUCGUGAAGAAUCCUCCUAUAAGAAAACCCCACGCGGUAACGAACCCGAUCAUCUACAUCUACAGUCGACCGAAGUCGACAUCGAUUGUACCUAAAGAGAGAAUGAUAGAAAAAACUCAGCUUUUGAAAGAAAAUAAUUUAAUGCGAAAAACACGCACCGGAUGCCGUUUGCUGCUCGGCAACUUCGGAUCAGCACACGUAAGUAC